UGCAAGUCGAGCGGACAGAUGGGAGCUUGCUCCCUGAUGUUAGCGGCGGACGGGUGAGUAACACGUGGGUAACCUGCCUGUAAGACUGGGAUAACUCCGGGAAACCGGGGCUAAUACCGGAUGGUUGUCUGAACCGCAUGGUUCAGACAUAAAAGGUGGCUUCGGCUACCACUUACAGAUGGACCCGCGGCGCAUUAGCUAGUUGGUGAGGUAACGGCUCACCAAGGCGACGAUGCGUAGCCGACCUGAGAGGGUGAUCGGCCACACUGGGACUGAGACACGGCCCAGACUCCUACGGGAGGCAGCAGUAGGGAAUCUUCCGCAAUGGACGAAAGUCUGACGGAGCAACGCCGCGUGAGUGAUGAAGGUUUUCGGAUCGUAAAGCUCUGUUGUUAGGGAAGAACAAGUGCCGUUCAAAUAGGGCGGCACCUUGACGGUACCUAACCAGAAAGCCACGGCUAACUACGUGCCAGCAGCCGCGGUAAUACGUAGGUGGCAAGCGUUGUCCGGAAUUAUUGGGCGUAAAGGGCUCGCAGGCGGUUUCUUAAGUCUGAUGUGAAAGCCCCCGGCUCAACCGGGGAGGGUCAUUGGAAACUGGGGAACUUGAGUGCAGAAGAGGAGAGUGGAAUUCCACGUGUAGCGGUGAAAUGCGUAGAGAUGUGGAGGAACACCAGUGGCGAAGGCGACUCUCUGGUCUGUAACUGACGCUGAGGAGCGAAAGCGUGGGGAGCGAACAGGAUUAGAUACCCUGGUAGUCCACGCCGUAAACGAUGAGUGCUAAGUGUUAGGGGGGUUUCCGCCCCUUAGUGCUGCAGCUAACGCAUUAAGCACUCCGCCUGGGGAGUA
rnacentral:rRNA from 1 species